rnacentral:lncRNA from 1 species
UGGAUAACUCUUUAUCCAGAUGCUUCUUUAAACAUGUUGCAGCCACUUGAUCUCUAAGUCAUGUGAGCUCACCUAACAGUUAUUGCCUGCACUCCUUAGUUAAGCCAGAUCCAUCGUUUACAAGCAGGCGCAAAGCUGUCAUUGGGUCUCUCACCUAAUAGUUAUUGGGCCCAAUCCCAUUUUUACCCCACAGUAACUCU